ACGUCAGUGGUUUAGUGGUAAAAUCCAUCGUUCCCAUCGAUGGGCCCCGCGUUCGAUCCGCGGCUGAUGUA
rnacentral:tRNA from 1 species